AGUCACUGACAUUAGAUACCCCUGUAGUCCAGGGUGUAAACGCUGCAGACUUGGUGUUGGGAACCCUUCGGGGGUGCUCAGUGCCGGAGAGAAGUUGUUAAGUCUGCUACUUGGGGAGUACGUCCGCAAGGAUGAAACUUAAAGGAAUUGGCGGGGGAGCACCGCAACGGGAGGAGCGUGCGGUUUAAUUGGAUUCAACGACCGAAAAACUCACCAGCAGCGACUGUUACAUGAAAGUCAGGUUGAUGACCUUACUAGAUUUUCAG
rnacentral:rRNA from 1 species